rnacentral:rRNA from 1 species
GACGAAGGGGGCUAGCGUUGUUCGGAAUUACUGGGCGUAAAGCGCGUGUAGGCGGUUGUUCAAGUUGGAUGUGAAAGCCUUGAGCUCAACUCAAGAAAUGCAUUCAGGACUGAAUGACUAGAGGACCGGAGAGGAUAGUGGAAUUCCCAGUGUAGUGGUGAAAUACGUAGAGAUUGGGAAGAAUACCAGUGGCGAAGGCGGCUAUCUGGACGGUUUCUGACGCUAAGACGCGAAAGCGUGGGGAGCAAACAGG